UUCCAACCUUUCCCCUACUUUCUAUUUAGAUCCCUUUCAGCAAUCCCAUCACCACCCGCGCUCCACUUCCCGUCCAAUCACAGGACGAGUUGAUUCUUCCGGAGUUCCAGCAGCACUCGCGGGCGACUUCCCGCGCAAUUUCAUUUCCUUCAAAUGUGGCUACCCUGGGGUCUUGUCGGUAGCUGAAGUGACCGCGCUUGUCUAGGCCACAGCUCCGCGGGUUAAUGGAGAUUAGACACAGGCAGUAUAGAGAGGGUAAUGGCGGGCCGGGGAUACGUUUGACGGAGGUUUGGGGGCAGAGAUGAUACGCGGGUCUGUUAUGGAGCAUCGCCUUCCCUGUUGGCAGCCGAGGUGUAUUCUGGGAGAUGUAGUUUUCUAGCAGCGUGUGUGACAUUGAGUUUUUACUGGGUAACCCAGGGAGGAGGAGGAAUGGCUGCUUUGACCUCUAUUUAGAUCUAAUGAGGCUACAAAUACAAAGGCCAUUAAUUGGUGAUAUCUGCCCUGUGGCCUUCUGUAGUCUGAGGGAAUGGGGAGUUACAGUUUAACAGCCAGAGGGGUUUGAUCACCUUUGAUAUAACACUGUGAUCUUCUGUGACAAUUUGUAAUUGGUUUUCAUUUUUUAUUAUUUGUGUUUUUGAGUUCAGUCUUUUAUUCAGCAGCUGUAAAGUUUGCAAUUUCAGCCAUCUGGUUGCUAGGGUCCAAAUUCCCCUAGCAACCCUGCAUUGAUUUGAAUAAGAGACUGGAAUAUGAAUAGGAGAGGCCUGAAUAGAAAGUACUAAUAGAAAGUAGCAAUGAUAAUAGAUUUGUAGCCAUACAGAGCAUUUGUUUUUCAGCUGGGGGUCAGCGACCCUCAUUUGAAAGCUGGAAAGAGUCGGAUGAAGAAGGCAAAUAAUUAAAAACCAAUUGAAAAGUUGCUUUGCAUUGGCCAUUCUAUAAAAUACUUAAUUUAAAGGUGAACUACCCCUUCAGAAAGUCUCUUGGCCAAUUUAGAUGUCCGAUUUUGAGGAGAGGGACACUUCAUUAGGCAGAUGGUCAGUUGCGGGUCUCACUCUCCUGUAUUGGACUCUUUGUUCUUCUAAGAAGACUCUGUGUUCAGACAACAAUCCUGCAGAUUUGUGUGACCCAGAAGUCUUGUCCCCCGGAGCUUUAUGGCUGUUGAUCCAGAGGAAGGCCUUCUGAAGCCUCUCCAAUUUGCCUUAGAGGGGGAAAAUCAGUGAGGGGGAGGUAAAAAGAGAGCCGUGCACAAAGUUUUAUGACGAAAGUCCCAGGAUUUUAAGGAUUUGGAUUCGGUUGAUGGCUGCUGAUCCUGCUUAGAAGAGGUCUGUUAUUUAAAGGGAAAUGGGGAUAUAAAAUAAAGACCCCUGUUAUAUGGACUCCCUGUGUCACUCUCCUGUUACCAGACAUUUACAGAAAUUGUGAUCCAAUCCUUCCUCCUGGUUGACAUCAAUCCCGUCUGAUUUAUUGAGUCCAGCCCUGCAAGGAAGCCUCGUACUCCAUGUUAGAUUGAAACCACGUAUACACACAAUUAGUGACCGUGUACAAACACUCUGUGCGUGACAUUGCAACAUGAUGUUUCCUGGAUUGUCUGAAGUUCAAGCUGAGCCGCAUUCAUAUCCAUCCUGGGCCAAAUGCCGCCCUCACUCGCGCAGGUUGGACACCCCUGACCUAUAGACUUUCACGAGGAAAUCCAGCUUGAGGGAAGGAGGGAUCUGAACGGAGUCCAAAGCGAUGGCCGAGGGGUUGAAAGGGAACAGGACUGGGAACAUGUAUUUGGAAUCCAUCAGCAGCUGAGGAGAAUCGCUCCGCUCU